AUGGAAGCACCUUACGACUAUCAGCUGGCCGUGGCUGAUUAUUAUUGGGAGGGGAGGCCGGCCGUGGAUCCAAAUGUAUGGGUUCCCGGCGUCCCUUUGGAGAUGACAGUUGCGCCAACUGCCAGCCAAAGUGGUCUGGUGGAUGGCUCUCCCGGACGGCCGCAGCUGAAGCUGAUUGAGGAGGAGAGUAUUGAUCAUCACUACGCGGUUGAAGUGUUCAAGCAAGCAGCACAAUCACUUCAGGAGGAACGUGACAAGAUGGAGACGAAGAUCCACAUGUUCCCUCCAAGCAUGGGGGAUCUGGCGGCCAAGUACGCCUUCCCCAAGGUGGUGGCCAUCGGCCCUUACCACCACGGCCGGACCCCGGCCCUCCGGCAGAUGGAGAGCACCAAGCACGUGGCCGCCUGGCACUUCAUCAACGACUCGGGCCGCUUGGUGGAGGAGGUGUACGGGGCGGUGUGCGCGGUGGCGGACGAGGCCCGCAGCCACUACGACGAGGACAAGGUGCGGGCUUUCGGCGACGACGACUUCAACCCUAUGAUGUUCUACGACGGCUGCUUCCUGCUGCAUUGGGUUGACGAGGCGGUGGAUCCGCUGCUGAAGGACGCUUUCAGCUCCAACUGCACCAGCAUCAGCUACGACAUCGCGCUGCUCGAGAACCAGCUCCCAUGGGUGGUGGUCCAAGAGCUGAUGCGCUUCAUGCCGACGCCCCCGGACCUGGUACGGUUCACCACGGAUUGGAAGGCCACUAUGCAGCCCACCGUACCGCUCCUAGACAACAGCCCUCUUGCAUGGGACGACAGCUACACGCCGCUGCAUCUUCUUGAGCUCCUGCGAUACUACAUCGUAGGGAGCACCACCGAGACGCCGGCCGAGCCCGACCUUCAUAAAAAUGCAGAGAAGAUAUCGAUUUCCGUCAGUGCCAUGGAGCUUGCGGAGAUCGGCAUCGAGAUCACGGCCACCAAGCCUACGGCAGAUCUGAAGGAAAUGGGCGUCAAUGAUAAGCCGCUCCUCACCGGCGAGCUUUUGCUGGCGCCACUGUCCCUGGACGAUGCAAACGCGAGCUUCCUCGUCAACAUGGCGGUUCUGGAGCUAUGCACGACCCCAGACUUUUCUGUAGAGGUCGAGGAGAAGUCUGCUGUGUGCUCCUACCUCUGCCUCCUGGGCAUGGUGACGGACAGCGAGGAGGACGUGCAGCAGCUGCGGAAGAAGGGUAUCUUGCUGGGAGGUGCAGGGCUGAGCAACAAGGACGCGCUGGAACUGCUCAACAGGGUGGAGAACCGGCUGCGACCCGGAACCCACUAUAUGAGGACCAUGGUGCUCAUCGAGAACUACAGGAAGAAGAGGCCGAGACGGAUCAAGUUUCACAAGUUCCAUUACAACUAUCGUAAAGCCAUCAUCUUGACGUUGUCCGGCAUUGCUGGACUUGCCAGCUUCCUCGGGGCGCUCAAGUCUCUCAACUCAAUUUUUGCGCUGCGGCACGGCUGGAUGCUACAAACGACGAUGAAAAAUGAUGUGACGGUAUUAAAAGGAAAAACAAUAAAUGCUACAACCAUUCUAACAGAAAUGCUACAACCGCCAAUGAAGAAUGUUGCAACCGAUGAUAUGACGUACUACAACCGAUGGGGGCGGCAUGCUACAACCGGCAAGACAAAUGUUGCAACCGGUAGGAAAAAUGUUGCAACCGAAGGCAUAAAAUGCUGCAUGGUCGACUGA
rnacentral:rRNA from 1 species